UACGGAAGGUCCGGGCGUUAUCCGGAUUUAUUGGGUUUAAAGGGAGCGCAGGCUGGAGAUUAAGCGUGACGUGAAAUGUCCCGGCUCAACCGGGGAGUUGCGUCGCGAACUGGGUUUCUUGAGUGCGGACGAGGCAUGCGGAAUUCGUGGUGUAGCGGUGAAAUGCUUAGAUAUCACGAAGAACCCCGAUUGCGAAGGCAGCGUGCCAGGCCGUAACUGACGCUAAUGCUCGAAGGUGCGGGUAUCGAAC
rnacentral:rRNA from 1 species